UACGUAGGGGGCAAGCGUUGUCCGGAAUCAUUGGGCGUAAAGAGCGUGUAGGCGGCCCGAUAAGUCCGCUGUGAAAGUCCAGGGCUCAACCCUGGGAUGCCGGUGGAUACUGUCGGGCUCGAGUCCGGAGGAGGAGUGUGGAAUUCCUGGUGUAGCGGUGAAAUGCGCAGAUAUCAGGAGGAACACCAAUGGCGAAGGCAGCACUCUGGGACGUGACUGACGCUGAGACGCGAAAGCGUGGGGAGCAAACAGG
rnacentral:rRNA from 1 species